UUUGUUUUUUUUUCACUUGUAUGUUGCAACAGGUUAGUGGGACUCUCUUCCUUCAACUCCAACUUAACAGCAGCAAUACACUUUUACUAGUAUUUACUAAAUAGACAUUUUUAAACAUGUUUCAGGCUCAGCCAGUCUCAAACUGUCAAACACGAUGACUCUCAGCAGCAGGUGUACUCCACCCUCCUCCAUGGUGAUGGUUGUGUCUAUGAAACAAUAAGGGGCUCUGAAGAUGCUGGAAAAGAUGCACCACCGAAUGUGUACGAUAACGUCCCAUCUCCAACUCAUCUCCGAGAUCCUGGCAAGCAAA